GUUCCGCACUGGCUGUCUUGGUCUUUGCGCAAGAUGUUGACAAAUACGUGGCUUUCAGCUUUUUGAUGGUAAUAAUGAGCUUAUUGACCCCCUGGAGUCUUAUGUUCGCGAUUGCACAAGUGUAUGAUCUUGCUGGAUUCCAGCUUCUUCAACCUAGAAUAAUCAAGAUAGGCAUCAUUAUUGGAGACGCGGUUCUCUCUUUUCUCGCUCUAGCAGCCGCCUCCUCAGCUGCGGCCGUGAUCAGCUUCUUACCAGACUUGAAGGGAUCCAGCAGAUAUCAGCUCGCAGCCACAUUGGCGUUUUUCACCUGGAUCAUGACGGCUUCUUCAGCUC